ensembl:lncRNA
CACCUCUCCUGCUUCUCCAGUCAUUCAGACGAGGCAGGUUUGUCAGGUUUUCUGGUUGUGAUGAACCAACAUCCUGAGGGAUCACAACAAGCUUUGACAAAUGAGUCCCUGGUAAAUGUGAAACUGCGGUCAGGCCUGUUUGCUGCCUUGCCGUCGGGAGGCACCUCGGCCUUAUCCAGCACCGGAGAGAGACGGAUGAGGUGCUGAAUGAUGUGAGCUGCUGUGGAGACCCUGAGGCACCGGUCCAACACCCCACGCCAAUGCUGGCUGCAGGAGCUGCUGAUAUUUUAGUUGCUGCCUGAUAUUUAAGGCCUGCAAAGGAUAUACAUGCAGGACGACUGGCACC